UGGGGAAUAUUGCGCAAUGGGCGGAAGCCUGACGCAGCCAUGCCGCGUGUGUGAAGAAGGCCUUAGGGUUGUAAAGCACUUUCAAUAGGGAGAAAAGGCCCACGGCUAAUACCCGUGGGAGUUGAUGUUACCUAUAGAAGAAGCACCGGCUAACUCCGUGCCAGCAGCCGCGGUAAUACGGAGGGUGCGAGCGUUAAUCGGAAUUACUGGGCGUAAAGCGCGCGUAGGUGGUUCAGUAAGUUGGAAGUGAAAUCCCCGGGCUCAACCUGGGAACUGCUUUCAAAACUGCUGAGCUAGAGUACGGUAGAGGGUGGUGGAAUUUCCUGUGUAGCGGUGAAAUGCGUAGAUAUAGGAAGGAACACCAGUGGCGAAGGCGACCACCUGGACUGAUACUGACACUGAGGUGCGAAAGCGUGGGGAGCAA
rnacentral:rRNA from 1 species